GACGAACGCUGGCGGCGUGCUUAACACAUGCAAGUCGAACGGAAAGGCCCUGCUUUUGUGGGGUGCUCGAGUGGCGAACGGGUGAGUAACACGUGAGUAACCUGCCCUUGACUUUGGGAUAACUUCAGGAAACUGGGGCUAAUACCGGAUAGGAGCUCCUGCUGCAUGGUGGGGGUUGGAAAGUUUCGGCGGUUGGGGAUGGACUCGCGGCUUAUCAGCUUGUUGGUGGGGUAGUGGCUUACCAAGGCUUUGACGGGUAGCCGGCCUGAGAGGGUGACCGGCCACAUUGGGACUGAGAUACGGCCCAGACUCCUACGGGAGGCAGCAGUGGGGAAUAUUGCACAAUGGGCGGAAGCCUGAUGCAGCAACGCCGCGUGCGGGAUGACGGCCUUCGGGUUGUAAACCGCUUUCGCCUGUGACGAAGCGUGAGUGACGGUAAUGGGUAAAGAAGCACCGGCUAACUACGUGCCAGCAGCCGCGGUGAUACGUAGGGUGCGAGCGUUGUCCGGAUUUAUUGGGCGUAAAGGGCUCGUAGGUGGUUGAUCGCGUCGGAAGUGUAAUCUUGGGGCUUAACCCUGAGCGUGCCUUCGAUACGGGUUGACUUGAGGAAGGUAGGGGAGAAUGGAAUUCCUGGUGGAGCGGUGGAAUGCGCAGAUAUCAGGAGGAACACCAGUGGCGAAGGCGGUUCUCUGGGCCUUUCCUGGCGCUGAGGAGCGAAAGCGUGGGGAGCGAACAGGCUUAGAUACCCUGGUAGUCCACGCUGUAAACGGUGGGUACUAGGUGUGGGGUCCAUUCCACGGGUUCCGUGCCGUAGCUAACGCUUUAAGUACCCCGCCUGGGGAGUACGGCCGCAAGGCUAAAACUCAAAGGAAUUGACGGGGCCCCGCACAAGCGGCGGAGCAUGCGGAUUAAUUCGAUGCAACGCGUAGAACCUUACCUGGGUUUGACAUGGAUCGGGAGUGCUCAGAGAUGGGUGUGCCUCUUUUGGGGUCGGUUCACAGGUGGUGCAUGGCUGUCGUCAGCUCGUGUCGUGAGAUGUUGGGUUAAGUCCCGCAACGAGCGCAACCCUUGUUCACUGUUGCCAGCACGUUAUGGUGGGGACUCAGUGGAGACCGCCGGGGUCAACUCGGAGGAAGGUGGGGAUGACGUCAAGUCAUCAUGCCCCUUAUGUCCAGGGCUUCACGCAUGCUACAAUGGCUGGUACAGAGAGUGGCGAGCCUGUGAGGGUGAGCGAAUCUCGGAAAGCCGGUCUCAGUUCGGAUUGGGGUCUGCAACUCGACCUCAUGAAGUCGGAGUCGCUAGUAAUCGCAGAUCAGCAACGCUGCGGUGAAUACGUUCCCGGG
rnacentral:rRNA from 1 species